UCAUGCCUUUAUACGGUGAAACCGCGAAUGGCUCAUUAAAUCAGCUAUGGUUUAUUGGAUCGUACUCGUUAAAUGGAUAACUGUAAUAACUCUAGAGCUAAUACAUGCCACGAAGCCCUGACCCCGCUCGUCGGGGAAUGGGUGCACUUAUUAGAACAGAAGCCAACCAGUACAUGCAUUCUUUCGGGGGUGUGUGUAUUGUAGCACUUCUGGUGACUCUGGAUAAUUGUUACAGAUCGCAGUCGGCUUUACGUCGGCGACGGGUCCUUCAAAUGUCUGCCCUAUCAACUUUCGAUGGUAGGUGACCUGCCUACCAUGGUGAUAACGGGUAACGGGGAAUCAGGGUUCGAUUCCGGAGAGGGAGCCUGAGAAACGGCUACCACUUCCAAGGGAGGCAGCAGGCGCGCAAAUUACCCACUCCCGGUACGGGGAGGUGGUGACGAAAAAUACCGAUGCGGGACUCAUCAACGAGGCUCCGUAAUCGGAAUGAGUGGACUCUAAAUCCUUUC
rnacentral:rRNA from 1 species